rnacentral:piRNA from 1 species
UGCUCUCUGCUCUGGAGCCGCCAUG